GAGAACAACAGUAUCUGUUGAGGUCUUGCUGUCACCAAGCCAAACUUGAUCACCCAUCUGGAGCAAAAAAAGAGCUCUGGAAUGUGAAGAGACAGGAAACAGUAGCCAAAUACCCAGACUGGACUGCUUUCAGGACUUUGAUUUGCAGGGCCAGCAGCAGUUGGGUUAACAUCUGGUGAACCUAAUAUGAGCUGUGUGGGUUUUUAAGGACUCGCCACACUGUCUUCCACAAUGGUUGAACUAAUUUACACUCCCACCAGCAGUGUAAAAGUGUUCCUAUUUCUCCACAUCCUCUCCAGCAUCUGUUGUCUCCAGAUUUUUUAAUGAUCAUCAUUCUAACUGGAGGGAAGCAAAACACGCCAUGUGUGUACCAAUGCAACUAUUUUACAUGUUCUGCACAUGUACCCCAAAACCUAAAACACAAUAAAAAAUAAAAAAUUUUUAAAAAGUAUUUAUGAAUGAUAUUAAUGCAUUUUCUAUGAAAUGGUAUUGCUUUAAUUGUACACUAAUGAUUCAAACUUCAUGGGCUUCAAUAGCAAAGACAUGGAAUCGACGUAGGUGCCAAUAGUUGUUGAUUGGAUAAAGAAAAUGUGGUAUCUAUACACAUAGAUACCACAUAUCUUUGAAAUACUACAUAGACAUAAAAACAGGACAAAAUUAUGUUCUUUGUAGCAAAGUUGAUGCAGCUGAAGGCCAUUAUCUUAAGUAAAUUAAUGCAGAAACAGAAAACCAAAUUAUGCAUAUUCUUAUAAGUGAGAGCUAAAUACUGGGCAUACAUAAAUAUAAAGAAGAAAACAAUAGCCACUAGGGACCACUAGAGGAGGAAGGAAGAGAAGGAGCCAAGGACCA